UACGUAGGGGCAAGCGUUGUCCGGAUUUAUUGGGCGUAAAGAGCGUGUAGGCGGUUAGGUAGGUCCGUUGUGAAAACUCGAGGCUCAACCUCGAGACGCCGAUGGAAACCAUCUGACUAGAGUCCGGAAGAGGAGAGUGGAAUUCCUGGUGUAGCGGUGAAAUGCGCAGAUAUCAGGAAGAACACCCGUGGCUAAGGCGGCUCUCUAGUACGUGACUGACGCUGAGACGCGAAAGCGUGGGGAGCGAACAGG
rnacentral:rRNA from 1 species